CUGGCCAUAUCAGAAUGAAACACCAAUUCUCGUAUGAUCACUGAAGUUAAGCAUUGUUAAGCUUCGUCAGCAUCUAGAUGUGUGACCAGUUGGGAAUACCAGGUGCUGUAAG